rnacentral:rRNA from 1 species
UGGGGAAUUUUGGACAAUGGGCGCAAGCCUGAUCCAGCAAUGCCGCGUGCAGGAUGAAGGCCUUCGGGGUGUAAACUGCUUUUGUACGGAGCGAAAAGGUCUGCCCUAAUACGGUGGGCUCAUGACGGUACCGUAAGAAUAAGCACCGGCUAACUACGUGCCAGCAGCCGCGGUAAUACGUAGGGUGCGAGCGUUAAUCGGAAUUACUGGGCGUAAAGCGUGCGCAGGAGGUUAGAUAGGACAGAUGUGAAAUCCCCGGGCUCAACCUGGGACCUGCAUUAGUGACUGUAUAGCUAGAGUACGGUAGAGGGGGAUGGAAUACCGCGUGUAGCAAUGAAAUGCGUAGUUAUGCGGAGGAACACCGAUGACGAAGGCAAUCCCCUGGGCCUGUACUGACGCUCAUGCACGAAAGCGUGGGGAGCAAACA